UUCUAUGUUAUCACUUUUUUCCCUGAAUGCUUUUAGAAUGGUUUUUCUUUUCCAUUGUCUCUCAGUUGUAAUUACUCCAAUUUUGAGAGACAACAAACUCUUUUAUGCUGUUAUUACAAGUUCAAUGGUUUUUAAAGGAAAAUGACUUGUUAUUUCUCGGUUUUAAUUAAGUUAUUGAUAGUUAAUAUGCAGAAGUGAUUAAAUUUUUAAUCAGUCGUUACUUGAUUUUGG
rnacentral:misc_RNA from 1 species